UACGGGAGGCAGCAGUGGGGAAUAUUGCACAAUGGGGGGAACCCUGAUGCAGCCAUGCCGCGUGUAUGAAGAAGGCCUUCGGGUUGUAAAGUACUUUCGGUAACGAGGAAGGUGGUGUAUCUAAUAGGUGCAUCAAUUGACGUUAAUUACAGAAGAAGCACCGGCUAACUCCGUGCCAGCAGCCGCGGUAAUACGGAGGGUGCGAGCGUUAAUCGGAAUGACUGGGCGUAAAGGGCAUGUAGGCGGAUAAUUAAGUUAGGUGUGAAAGCCCUGGGCUCAACCUAGGAAUUGCACUUAAAACUGGUUAACUAGAGUAUUGUAGAGGAAGGUAGAAUUCCACGUGUAGCGGUGAAAUGCGUAGAGAUGUGGAGGAAUACCGGUGGCGAAGGCGGCCUUCUGGACAGAUACUGACGCUGAGAUGCGAAAGCGUGGGGAGCAAACAGGAUUAGAUACCCUGGUAGUCCACGCUGUAAACGAUGUCGAUUUGGAGUUUGUUGCCUUGAGUGAUGGGCUCCGAAGCUAACGCGAUAAAUCGACCGCCUGGGGAGUACGGCCGCAAGGUUAAAACUCAAAUGAAUUGACGGGGGCCCGCACAAGCGGUGGAGCAUGUGGUUUAAUUCGAUGCAACGCGAAGAACCUUACCUGGUCUUGACAUCCACAGAAUCUUGCAGAGAUGCGAGAGUGCCUUCGGGAACUGUGAGACAGGUGCUGCAUGGCUGUCGUCAGCUCGUGUUGUGAAAUGUUGGGUUAAGUCCCGCAACGAGCGCAACCCUUAUCCUUUGUUGCCAUUGGUUCGGCCGGGAACUCAAAGGAGACUGCCGUUGAUAAAGCGGAGGAAGGUGGGGACGACGUCAAGUCAUCAUGGCCCUUACGACCAGGGCUACACACGUGCUACAAUGGCGUAUACAAAGGGAGGCGACCUCGCGAGAGCAAGCGGACCUCAUAAAGUACGUCUAAGUCCGGAUUGGAGUCUGCAACUCGACUCCAUGAAGUCGGAAUCGCUAGUAAUCGUGAAUCAGAAUGUCACGGUGAAUACGUUCCCGGGCCUUGUACACACCGCCCGUCACA
rnacentral:rRNA from 1 species